GAUGAACGCUAGCUACAGGCUUAACACAUGCAAGUCGAGGGGCAGCAUGGUCUUAGCUUGCUAAGGCCGAUGGCGACCGGCGCACGGGUGAGUAACACGUAUCCAACCUGCCGUCUACUCUUGGACAGCCUUCUGAAAGGAAGAUUAAUACAAGAUGGCAUCAUGAGUCCGCAUGUUCACAUGAUUAAAGGUAUUCCGGUAGACGAUGGGGAUGCGUUCCAUUAGAUAGUAGGCGGGGUAACGGCCCACCUAGUCUUCGAUGGAUAGGGGUUCUGAGAGGAAGGUCCCCCACAUUGGAACUGAGACACGGUCCAAACUCCUACGGGAGGCAGCAGUGAGGAAUAUUGGUCAAUGGGCGAGAGCCUGAACCAGCCAAGUAGCGUGAAGGAUGACUGCCCUAUGGGUUGUAAACUUCUUUUAUAAAGGAAUAAAGUCGGGUAUGGAUACCCGUUUGCAUGUCCUUUAUGAAUAAGGAUCGGCUAACUCCGUG
rnacentral:rRNA from 1 species